AUUUUGACUGUGAUUGGGCUUUGGGAAGAAGCAACUAUACAAUAAUUCAAAGUAUACUAAAACGUGCCACUACAUGAAGAUUGGGGAUCAGAUAUGGCUGAUGGUUGAGUCCAAUUCUGGUUCAGUUGGAAGUCCUUUCGGACGAUGAUAUAUAAACACCUU